rnacentral:rRNA from 1 species
UACGUAGGGUGCGAGCGUUAAUCGGAAUUACUGGGCGUAAAGCGUGCGCAGGCGGCUUUGCAAGACAGAUGUGAAAUCCCCGGGCUUAACCUGGGAACUGCAUUCGUGACUGCAUGGCUGGAGUGCGGCAGAGGGGGAUGGAAUUCCGCGUGUAGCAGUGAAAUGCGUAGAUAUCGGGAAGAACACCUGUGGCGAAGGCGGCUCUCUGGGACGGUACUGACGCUGAGACGCGAAAGCGUGGGGAGCAAACAGG